rnacentral:lncRNA from 1 species
CGCCAGCCGCUCUCUCCCUCUCACCCUCACACCGGGAGCGACGCACACCCCACCCGCCCCUCAGCUUCGCAGGCCCGGCCCCUUAAAGAGACACACACGGGCCACCGAUCUGCCGCCAGUCGGCGUGCCUUGCAGCUGUUGGCUUGACCCCAGGCCGGGACGGGCAGAGCGGAACACUGCCCGGCGGGUCCAGGCCGACCGUGCCUGUGGCUCUCCGGAACAAUAAACCCCCGGCCCCAGUGAUGUGGGCCAGACCGGACCUGGAGAGGCGGCACCGCGACCCCUCCCGCAACCCGCCUGGCGGCCGGGGGCAGCGUGACCCGGCCCGCUACCGUGUCACAGCUGGCGACUGACAAACAGCAGGCGACGUCGGGAGAACUCCCCGAGACACCCGAGACAUCAGCCUUCUCGCUCCGCGGCCCUGCAGGACCUGCCCGCCGGGAGCCCCGGAGUCCGCGGCAGCGCCGAGGGCCCCUCCCCCAGGCCUCUGGGCUCUGAGGCUCAUCCAUGGAAUACCAAUUCUUUUUCUUAGUGUUCACAUUGGAUUUUUCUGUUAAAAAUAGAUUGUUGGAGUUGGCUAACAAGUUGAUUACUUCCAGUCAGGCACUCUCUUCUGUAAAGUCUCUUUUGUAAACUCCUACAAGCAGCUAUUUCACUGGAUUUGAAAAGACUGACUAAAAAGAACCAUGCACUGUAACUCUCAAGUAUACAGGAAUAUUGUUAUUAGGUAAUUUUUUUUUUCAAUAUGUGUUAACCUUGUCUUCCCUACAAUUUUCUUUUUCUUUUUUUUUUUUUUUUGAGAUGGAAUCUCACUCUGUCGCCCAGGCUGGAGUGCGGUGGCACAAUCUCAGCUCACUGCAACCUCUACUGCCUGGGUUCAAGCGAUUCUCCUGCCUCAGCCUCCUGAGUAGCUGGGAUUACAGACGCGCGCCACCAUACCCAGCUAAUUUUUUGUAUCUUUAGUAGAGACGGGGUUUCACCAUCUUGGCCAGGCUGGUCUUGAACUCCUGACCUUGUGAUCCACCCGCCUCAGCCUCCCAAAGUGCUGGGAUUACAGGCAUGAGCCACGGCGCCCAGCCUCCCUACAGUUUUCAAACAUUCAGAGAGGUGAUUAUGGUGUAUCUUUUAUUCUGUUUUGCUUUGGAUCUUGGCGUUCUUCUAGAGAACUCAUCUGCUCAGGAGCUUCUCAGUGCAUCUUCCCUCCCAAACUUGUCUUACCCAGCAGAGAAUGAAUGUACUCAAGAUUACCAGUUUUGCAGAUGAAUAAACCAAUGAUUCCAGAGGUUAUGGUGCAUAUCUAG